AAAUAAAAAAGAUAAAAUAGGUGUAAUUCCAUUUCCAUCUCAUGGUCAUCUUUGAUUGAGAUCUGUUUUGACUUCCAUCAACUCCACUUUACCAACACACACACACACACACACACACACACACAAAAAUUCACAUAUACAUACAUACAUACAAAACAAAUAACAAAAGUACUAAUAACCCUUCUUUCCAAAUUAUUGAUUCUUGAGUUUUCUGACAAAAGAGAUAUGGAUGGUUCAGGGCAGCAACGAGAUACGAUGAUGUCUGAUGCAACACCACCACCUGCGCCGCCGCAUGCGGUGGGGGGAACAGAGAAUAUCCCGGCGACGUUGAGUCACGGUGGGAGGUUUAUUCAAUAUAAUAUAUUUGGUAACGUAUUUGAAGUAACUGCUAAGUAUAAACCUCCUAUUAUGCCUAUUGGUAAAGGUGCUUAUGGUAUUGUUUGUUCUGCUUUGAACUCGGAGACAAAUGAGCAUGUAGCGAUAAAGAAAAUUGCUAAUGCUUUUGAUAACAAGAUUGAUGCCAAGAGGACUUUGAGAGAGAUCAAGCUUCUUCGGCAUAUGGAUCAUGAAAACAUUGUUGCGAUUAGAGAUAUAAUUCCACCACCACAGAGAGAAGCCUUUAAUGAUGUUUAUAUUGCGUAUGAGCUUAUGGAUACUGAUCUCCAUCAAAUUAUUCGCUCGAAUCAGGGUUUAUCUGAGGAGCACUGCCAGUAUUUCUUGUAUCAGAUCCUCCGUGGGUUGAAAUACAUACAUUCUGCAAAUGUUUUGCACAGAGACUUAAAGCCUAGCAAUCUUCUCUUGAAUGCCAACUGUGAUUUAAAGAUAUGUGAUUUUGGGCUAGCUCGUGUCACUUCUGAAACUGACUUUAUGACCGAAUAUGUUGUGACAAGAUGGUAUCGUCCACCUGAGCUGUUGUUAAAUUCAUCUGACUAUACCGCAGCAAUUGAUGUAUGGUCAGUAGGUUGCAUCUUCAUGGAACUGAUGGACAGAAAACCCCUAUUCCCUGGCAGAGAUCAUGUACACCAGCUGCGUCUUAUUAUGGAGUUGAUUGGUACUCCUUCAGAGGCUGAAAUGGAGUUUUUAAAUGAGAAUGCAAAACGAUACAUCCGACAACUUCCUCUUUACCGUCGACAGUCAUUUACUGAAAAGUUCCCACAUGUAAACCCAGCUGCUAUUGAUCUUGUCGAGAAAAUGUUGACAUUUGAUCCGAGAACGAGAAUAACAGCAGAAGGCAACAAUCCUGGAAGUUAGAGAUAUUCGAGGAUGGAACCUCAGCUUUAGGAGAAUGCUCAAUGAUUGUUAAGUGGAAAGGUUGAUAGGAUUUUACAACACCCUUGAACAGUUCAAGGAUUACUCCAAUGAGGUGGACAGUUUAGUUUGGUUGAAGGAUAAGCAAGGAAGAUUCUCAGUCAAAUCUGCCUAUAAAUGCAUCAGUCCUCAACUUGGUUUCUGGCCAUGGAAGAUGAUUCGGAAAGUUAAAAUUCCAUACAAAGUGGCAUGUUUUACAUGGUUAGUGGCCAAACAAGCUGUUUUAACACAAGAUAAUGUGAUGAAAAGGGGUUUACAACUUUGCUCCAGGUGUUUUUUUUUUUUUUUUUUGGUGAAACUGAAGCUGAAACAAGAAAUCAUCUUUUCCUUCAUUGUAAAGUGACUGAACAACUUUGUCAGUUCUUCAUCAAUUUGAGAGGGCUUAAUUGGACUAUGCCAAGGAAUACAGUUGAAGUUGUGGCAUGCUGGAACAGAGAUGGUAAUUUGUCAGGCCAUAGAGGGAGAUGGAAGAUUGUUCCAGUUUGCAUCUGGUGGACAAUAUGGAAGGAGAGGAAUCAAAGAUGCUUUAAAGAUAAAAGUAUCACCUUCCAGAAAUUGAAGAUGAAUUGUCUAGUGUUUUUGUAUUUUUGGUGUAGUCAUGAAUUCCCCUAAGAGUCAGAGGAUAUAACUAGUAUUCUAGAUUGUUUAUAGGGCUAUAGGUGGUAGGUUUUGCUUUCUGUAACUACUACUUGUAAUUACUACUGAAAGUACACCUUUGGUGUAUCUUCAAAAAAAAAAAAAAAAAAGAAAAAAAAAAGGGAAGAUUACCAAACAAAUUAGGGAAGACAAAAAGGAAAGAAUGUGAUAACUUUCGACCUCAAGAACACAGAAUUGAAAAUAAAGAAAGGAAGUAAAGAUAGAAGCUAAACACAAGUUAAACAAAAUAGAUAACAAUGAGAUGGAUAAAAUCUAAUCACCUUCGAUUAAACGAUCAAGAACAAGCACCUAUUCUAUUUGGAUCCUCAAGAGGAUUGAUUCCUCUUGCAAACCUAAGGGCAAGGUCAGGGUAGGCAACACAGGUUUUCUACCCAUUCUACUAACUACAAGAUAACCUAAGGCUCACAAGCAUUCAUCAAUUCAUCAUUUGUCAAAGUCUAAGGAACUAAACUCUACUAUUUAUAGUAGCUAGCUAUUUAUCAUAAAAAUAGCCCUUACGUAAGUAGACUAUCGCUACAAUGCAAAUAAUGCCGGCUAGACAUGCAAUUUGGUCGUUUCUUACAAACCUUUCAUUUGAAAUCCACUUUAGCCUAUUGUGGACCUUCAAGUCUUCUUGGCUUGAUCUUCAAAAUCCCCGUGAGCUUCCAUAUCCAAGAUGAAAAUCUUGGAAGUUGUCAUUCUCCCUCCUCGAAUUUGUAGCUCCUUUAAUUAUUAUUAUCUUAUAGGUUAUCAAAAAAAAAAAAGAAAAAAUAAUUCACGAAUUCGAACCUUGCAAAACUUGGACGGAAAUAAGUACAUCACGAAACCAUCAAAAGUAAAAAAUGUACAUGGUAAAAAUGAAACAAUGAAAUGACCAUGCAUUCUUUUAAUCCUAGACUUUCCCACAUUUUCUCCAAAAGCACACUCUUGUGAUAAAGACAAGCAUCAAAACAAUCAAUAAAGAUCUUUCAUCCAAGUAAUACUCUUUCACGUGCCAUAAGAGAAUAAAAUAUAUACAAGAUGCUGUAACCAAUAUGCCUAUUAAAUGAAACUAAUAUGCCCAAAUUGGUAUUAUCAACAAAGUAGAUCAAUCCAACUCAUAAAUCAAGAACCCAAAUUGUGCAAGAUAAAGAAUCCACAUAAAAUGGUUCAUGUACCAUCUUAAUCCCGAUAUCAUUUGAAGAUGUAUCAAAGAGGACACCAUUGAAAUGUAGCUAAUAUCUACAAGAAUCAACCAUUCAACUAAGAUAUCAAGUACUUCGCUCAAAUGAAGAAAACAAUCUUGGCUCAAAUGAAGAAAACAAUCAUAAAAUGAAUCAAAGAAACUAACAAAUCUAAAUAUUAAAGCUCGUAGAUCAAUGUUAGUUUCCUUAACAAGGUGGACCAAUUUAUCUCUCAAACCACAAUUCAAAUGUACCUUCAUAAAUAUAAGGUAAGAGAAUCAACCAAGUUAAAUUUCAAAAAAAGAAUCAACCAAGUUGCUUACAACUCUUACGCACAAGUUCGUUUCCCCGGGAUAAAAACAGAUGUCAAUCUAAAAACAUCCUUGGGUUUCAAACUUAACAUCGCAAUAUAAGAAUGGCAUCAAAUAACAACAUUAAAGAACUUUUUUUAUCGUUUAAGUAAGGUUUUUUUUGGAUAUAUAGCAAAACACCAACAUUAAGGAAGUGCUGAUGAAAAAUACAUCCAAAAGAGAACUUUACAAUGUGUAUAAAAAUCUAAGAAAGUCAACAAUCGCCUCUUUAUCCAAAAAAGAAAGUCAACAAUCGCCUUUGGCUCUAAAACAUAAGUCAGAGCUUUUCUGAACCAAAAACUAAGCAAGGAUAUACACUUAAGCUUAAGAUUAAUAAUGUUGCCCUUCUUGUAUUCAAAAGCUCUAGCAUUCCUCUCUCGCUAUAUGACCCACCAAAUAACCGCAGGAAUUGUGAGUCCACGUUGUUUUUUGGCACACACCAUUUCAAGCCCAAAAUGAUUAAAAAGAGAUGUCAAAUCUGUUGGGUAAACUUGCAAUCUAAGAAGAGGCGAUUGAGUUAUUCCGCCUCCUCUUCACAAAGAUAGCAUCAAUGUUGUCAAAAGCGAAAAGCGCUAAAGCGCUGUUGGAGCUUAAAGUGCAAAGCACAAUUAAAGCAGGGGCUUCACUGAAUAAAGCGCACUAUGAAGACUAUAUAUAUGUGUGUGUAUAAUAUUUAGAGAACAUAAUAGACACAUAAAUGGUAAAUCUAUAUUGCUUAUAAUGAAGUAUAAUUUCAUCAAAUCAUCAUCUUAAGUCUUAACCACUGAAAUCAAAAGCGAGGCACACAAGCACUUCACCGCUCCGCGUGACCUCAAGCGAGGCGCACGUAUCAGAGGGCCCUUUACAAUUCUUUUUUUAAAUUAUAGGUUAGUCUGUCACAAUUUCCUAGACCAUAUUUAUGGCAAAUAUCCAGGGAAAUAUGGAAAAAUUAAUUAAGGGAGCAAAUCAGAGUUCCCAAAAGAAUAAAAAAGAGAAGAUCGACGGAAUUAUAAGAAGGCAAGAGGAGCUGAAGCAAUGCAACAGAAAAAGACAAAUUCAAAUAAACCAGGGACAACUGCAGCGGAAUAAGCCUUUAUCACAGUUGAAGACGCACUUGCACAUCCUUACCUAACAUCGCUCCAUGAUAUUAGUGACGAGCCCAUUUGUGUGACUCCUUUUAGCUUCGACUUUGAACAGCAUGCCCUUACGGAGGAACAGAUGAAGGAGCUGAUUUACAGGGAGUCCAUUGCAUUUAAUCCUGAAUACCAGCACAUGUGAAUAAUCGCUGGUAGAUUGUUGUCGGUC